GGUGUGCUUUCCAGCCGAGCCCCUCUCGUUAACGCGCCUGGGUGACGACGCGUCACAGGCACGCGGCUGCCAAGGGGCUCUGGACGCCACUGUUCUGGCUUUAAGGACGGGCUGUCCGGCUGGCGUUUCUAUGGACAUACAUUGAGGGGUGACCUGGCGGUGGGAUCUGGCUCAGGAGCUUCCAGAAGGACCCAGGCUGAAGUGGUUCAGCCACACCUAGGGGCAGUGCCCUUCAUCCCCAGCACUCCCCGGCUAUUAGAUUUCUAGGAUUUCUUUUCUCCUGGCUGCAAAAAAAACCUCAGAUGAUACAAAGGUGACAUUUUCCUAAAAGGCAAAAGUAACUUCAUGUUGUAUGGUGGUUCUCGAAGUGGGGUGCCGGACCCUCAGGCUUGGCACCUCUGGGGCUUCAGCAGUGCAGCUCUUGGGCCCUGUGCUGCCGACUCAGCACCUCCAGGGUGGGCCCGGGGCUCAGACCACCAGCGCAGUGAGACAUGAUGACCAGGGCACCACUCAAAAAGAGAGCAGGCGAGAUUGCUUCCCUGAUGAAAAGAGAGCAGGCGAGAUUGCUUCCCUGAUGAAAAGAGAGCAGGCGAGAUUGCUUCCCUGGUGAAAAGAGAGCAGGCGAGAUUGCUUCUCUGGUGAGGGAGCAGGUUGGUUAAUAGCAGGCGAGAUUGCUUCUCUGGUGAGGGAGCAGGUUAGUUAAUAGAGAGCAGGCGAGAUUGCUUCUCUGGUGAGGGAGCAGGUUGGUUAAUAAAGCAUUUAAACAAGAAUGAUGUCAUCUUCACUGCUGGGAUCCUGCAGCUAGCUGUGUGUCUGUGGAGGG
rnacentral:lncRNA from 10 species